GGUGGGACAAGUAGGACGAAGCAAGAGGAUAAGAGUAAAACUACCGGAGAGUUUUCUCGUUACCUGGUGAAUGCAAAGUUUGCCGCUGUGUAACGGGAGAUUUCUGGAGGACUUGGACCAGGAGACAUUCCUUGGGUUUUUAUUUUUAAUCCUGUCGGGCGCAUAACCUGGAGUUCAGCCACAGUACGUUCCCGCCACGACUGGUUGUCGAUGCCGCCUGCCGACUGUGUGUUCCCACUCAUCUCGUCAGACCAGCAUUGUCGAAUAACCGGUUCAUCCAACCGACUGUCCAUCGAGGUUCAGGUAUCUUCAGAAACAUGUCCUCUCCAGAGAUUGGCUUGCUCUCCUGGGGCAACAUGAAGGUCAAGGGAUGCGCCUCCAGCUACAAGGAUUGUAAGGUCUGGCCUGUCCUCACUUAAUAAUAAUAUAAUAAUAAUCACCUUUAUUUGGCCAACUAUGUUACACACACACACACACAAGGAAUUUUUUUUCUGGUACAGAACCGAGGAAGCCAUCUACGGCGCCAACUCACGCCGAAGGGACAACUUGGGGGUUCAGUGUCCCAAGGACACUUCGACAUGGGGACUGCAGGCACUGAGAUCCGACCCUCCGGUUGGGAGACGGCUGCUCUACCCACUGAACCACAGUCAAACCCCAGUUAAUUAAUUCAACCUCAAUAUCAAGAAUUCCUGCUCAUUAGUAGGGAUGACUCGAUACCAGUUUUUCACAUCCGAUACCGAUACCACAAAAUUUAGUAUCUGCCGAUACCGAUUCCUGUCCGAUACCAAGUAAAUUGUUAAUAUAUUUUGCAGUUAAUGUAGCUGGCAGGUCGUACUCCGCAGCAUAUGCACACAAGAAUCGUUUUUGUGCUAGAAGGCUCUGGAUCAUGUAAUACGUACUGUUCCACCUUGUACGUACGUCUUACUGAAGAUGCUUGGUCGGCAUAUUCUGUUCAACCUGAAUGUCCUCUAAGCGUGAAUAUGCAAGUGGCUAGUGCUUGAAGUGACCCACGAUUUUUCUGCCGACAGACACAGCAUCACUUACGCUACGCUGCGCUAGCAGUCCCUUGUUUACAACAAGUUGCAAGUUAUGUGCAAAGCACCCCAAACUAGCAACUCCAAGACGGUCCAUUGCUUUGACCACGUUACUGGCAUUAUCUCGUAAAAUGACAUGAACCUUACUCUUCUCAAUGUUCCAUGCUUUUAACAUUUCCUCU